GCAGGCUGCAACUCGCCUGCAUGAAGUUGGAAUUGCUAGUAAUCGCGAAUCAGAAUGUCGCGGUGAAUACGUUCCCGGGCCUUGUACACACCGCCCGUCACACCAUGAGAGUCGAUAACACCCGAAGCCUGUGAGCUAACCUUUUAGGAGGCAGCAGUCGAAGGUGGGGUUNAUGAUUGGGGUGAAGUCGUAACAAGGUAAC
rnacentral:rRNA from 1 species